rnacentral:lncRNA from 1 species
AUGACCGCGGCAGCUUUCCAAUCUUUGGGAUUUUCAGGCAAUAUGAAAGAGAGGUUGAAAAGGCUAGUUAUAGGGGUUGCAACAAUUGCGGCAGAUAAUUUUAGAAAGAGAGGGUCCAGGUCCUCUAAUCAGGGACUGAUUCAGUUGUCUUCUCCACAGGGUGACCAGGGCUUCCCAGGGCAGCACGGAACACACAGGGAGAGAGAGGAGUUGUGGAGCCAGGGCCAAAGGGUGAACCAGGACCUGACAGAUCCUCUGGGAUACCUGGUAUACUUGGGGAAGAUGGAGUGGUCGAAUCUAAGGGUGAGAUUGGUUUGCCAGGACUGCGAGGGACAGAGGGUGCCUGGGAAAGGUAUUCCUGGAGAAAAGGUAGAGUUCUAUUUUUGAAGGUUCUGGAUCUAGAAUGUUUAGCCAGACAACCACCCACAGUCCUGUAGAAUCCUUUGUUAGUUCUGGCCUACCUGCAUACACCUAUGUUAAACACAGCAUUGUCUGCUUCCAGUAUAAGAGUCAUACUGAUUAACUCCAACUUAAG